rnacentral:lncRNA from 1 species
GGUGCUUGUCUGAUAGGAAUGGCUCAGCCAGCCCCGCCCCAGGAUGGUCUGGAAACAGAGACAUGCUCCUGCCUCCAGGAGCUCUACCUUGGGAGUACCCCAUCUGAGGGGGAGACACAGUCUCCCACCGCAGCCCCAGCCCCAGUAUGGAGGCCAGAGUCUGUACCCAGACCGUGCGGGCUUUUCUGCAGAUACACUCCAUUUGCCAACGGUCCCAGUGACACACCAGAGGAAAUCCUAACCCGGAUCGGCAGUGGGAAGUUUACCCUCAGUGGGGGAAAUUGGAACACAGUUUCAGAGACAGCCAAGGACCUGGUGUCCAAGAUGCUACACGUGGAUCCCCACCAGCGCCUCACAGCUAAGCAGGUUCUGCAGCAUCCAUGGGUCACCCAGAAAGACAAGCUUCCCCAAAGCCAGCUGUCCCACCAGGACCUACAGCUUGUGAAGGGAGCCAUGGCUGCCACGUACUCUGCACUCAACAGCUCCAAGCCCACCCCCCAGCUGAAGCCCAUCGAGUCAUCCAUCCUGGCCCAGCGGCGAGUGAGGAAGUUGCCAUCCACCACCCUGUGAGGCACCAGGGCAUUCAGGCCACAGGGCGGUGCUAGCUUGACAGAGUCAGCAUGCUUCCCAGAGGGAGCAGGCCGGAACCACAGGGCCAGAGGGAGCUGGAACCCGAGGGGCCGGGGAAGCUGCCAGCCCAGAACACCCCUAAUGAGGGUGUGAGAAGUGCCUUCUCCUUCCCCAGGAUGGACUCUUCUCAGCUCAGGCUCUGCUGGUGGAAAGCGAUUCACUGUAUAAACUUUUUUUUAUGAAAAAAAUGGCAUCAACCACCAUGGAUUUUUACAAGAUCCAUUUGCCUUUCUGGGAGCAGAAACAGCCAUUGCGGCCCCAGGAGGGGAACUGAGUCACGCUGGGGCUCUCUGAGACUCUUUAGAGCAGCUUUGGGAUCCCACCCUGGGGACCCCCACGAUUGGCCAUCUGUAGCCAUCUGCACACACCUCCGAGACAGUCCAGUGUCACCUCUCUCAGAGCAUCUGGCUGUUUAGCAGAACUCAUUCUAUCCCCAAUCAGCUCCUUUUCCGUUCUGUUCUGCUGGGAGUUCUAGAACCACUUCCUGCUACAGGAGGGGACUCAAGUCCUGCUGGCUUCCAGCUUCAGGCACCAGCAUCCACCUUGGCUCUGCCAGUGGAUCCCCUGCGGUCAGGCUGGGCAGCCCCAGAGAGAGGAUGUGGAAAGCACUUUUUGGCUGACUUCAUUUGGGGUUGGCAACAGGACAGAGUUCACAGGAGGCCAGUGGGCGGGCCAUGAGGGACAGGGUCUUUUUUCAUUUCUUCCUCAGCUGGUUACUCAGGGUUCAUC